GCCGAGGUGGCGGAAUGGAAGACGCGCAGGGCUUAAGCCCCUGUGGAGUUUCGACUCCGUGUGGGUUCGAUCCCCACCCUCGGCACCA
rnacentral:tRNA from 1 species